GACAGCGCCGAGCCCCCUUCACUAGCCAUAACAUGGAGCAUACCAAAAUGACGGGGAGAAACUCAGCUAAAUACCUGUACCAAGCAAUGCCACCCAAACGAAACACUAAAGGACAACAGCAUUGAGUCCAGAAGAGAAGCUGUGAUCAGAGGCCUCAUUCUCUACCUUGGUGAAAAGACGGAGGAGCUAAUCAAGGACUACAAGGUUUUUGAUGAUGACGAUGUUGGGACUGUACAAGAGGCCCUUACUACACAAGUCCUCAACAUCUUUGUGGUCAGCAAAGCCAAAGAUGGAGAUCUCCAGAAGCAGGCUGGAAUAGCCAUCGAGGGAGCAGAGGUCCUUUUUGGUAUCCCUGAUGUUGCACAUGCUUGUACCUACCUGAUGGGCCUCAUCUACGCCUUGGAACUAAGGUACCCUAACAAACUGAAAUACACCUUUGAGGUUUUUCAGAAGAUCUUUCUAGAGCUGGAGGAUGUCAACCAAAAGGUGUCCUCCAAGGUCCACGAUCUGAAGGUCAGUUUACAUGCCUAAAAGCCAUACAGACAUUGCUGAAGCUCCCUCUUGUCAAGGUUUACAGUUGUUGGUUAUACAUUGCACUUUCACAGGUUUUCCAAAAGCACUUCCUCGGGUUACAUUUUUAAGCUCGUGUGUAUGCUGCUUAAAUUUGUUUUGUGUAAACUCGGGUCAGAUGUUUGUCAGAUGUCUGCACUUUAAAUGGCUGAUAGAAUUCAGUUCAGCUCAAGGGAGUCAUUGUAAGUGACCUUAGGUGUAUUUUUCAAGCAGCUUUUCAGGUACUGCUACCGGAGGCAGAUCUACACAGAAAACUCUGUACAGUUUUAUAUUUUGUGAGGUACUGUGUUUUCUGCAUUAUCAAUGUAUUGGUCAGAUUUUGAAUGUAACUGUCAUUUGCUUAGGAUGUUCAAACCUUUAAGGUCAGGCUGUCGGUGGGGUUUCAUCCCUGAAAGUGCUUCCUCAGGGUAGACAGAAUUAAUGUUUGUUUUGGAGGACAUUGCCAAAAUUCAUUUGAAGAACCAUUAUGUAAUAGGGUGUGAAUCCCAUGAGUUAUGUGUUGGGUCAUUGGCAUUGUCUUAUGGCGCGUCUGGCUCUAGCAUCUUAAGUGUUUCCAAUGUUGUCAGUAUAAUGGAGUUUAUGGUCUUAUUUUCUUAUCAAAGUGUCUUUGGUAUAUACUAUGUUCCAUGUCAUGAAUACACUAAAAUGUUGCAACACUGUAACUAUUGUUAAACAAGGUAAACAAGCCCCUUUGUUAAGUUUGAUAAUUAAUACCAGAUGUUGUUUGAAUAAUGUGGACAUUUUUCCAGAGUAUACAGUAUUAGGGCUGCAACUAACAGUAAUUGUCAUUAUUGUACAAUCUGUCUUGUUAUUUUUCCAAUUAAUACUUGUAUGGAAUGUGGGAAAUGGUGAAAAAUGUGUUAUCACUGUUUCCGGAAGCCCAAGAUGCAACUUAGAAUGUCUUGUUUUAUCCCGACCAAUAUUAAUAUAUUCUCAUGUGAGAAGCUGAAUUUGGAUUUUUUU